UACGUAGGGUGCAAGCGUUGUCCGGAAUUAUUGGGCGUAAAGAGCUCGUAGGCGGUCUGUCGCGUCUGCUGUGAAAACUCAGGGCUUAACCCUGAGCUUGCAGUGGGUACGGGGCAGACUAGAGUGCGGUAGGGGAGACUGGAAUUCCUGGUGUAGCGGUGAAAUGCGCAGAUAUCAGGAGGAACACCGGUGGCGAAGGCGGGUCUCUGGGCCGUAACUGACGCUGGAGGAAGCGAAAGCAUCGGGGAGCGAACAGG
rnacentral:rRNA from 1 species